CCAGGAGGAGAAGGGAACCGCUAAUUGCCUGAGCAGACUAAUUGGCCGUGGGAGGGGUAGGUGGGCCGAAUGAGAGGGUCUGGAGCUUCCUUGAGACCAGGGAGACUGGACCUUACUCACCGCUGGAUUCCCAAAGCACAGCACAAGCCCAGCCCCCAGCUCCCCGCCUUCCUGGGAAGGAGAAGUGAUCUUACCAGGACCCAGCAGAAGAGAAAACCCAGUCCAGGAGCAUUUUACGUAGAUGUCUUGAAGAGCUGUGACAUCCUAAGCGUGCAAAAGAGGGAAGAUUCCAUCCACUUCAAAACUCCUGACUUGGGGCGCCUGGGUGGCUCAGUGGGUUAAGCCUCUGCCCUUGGCUCAGGGCAUGAUCCCAGGGUCCUGGGAUCGAACCCCACAUUAGGCUCUCUGCUGGGCAGGGUGCCUGCUUCCCAACCCCCUCUUCUCUCUGCCUGCCUCUCUGCCUACUUGUGA